UUAUUUUAUCUUUGCAAAACGAUUCGCGCGGGUGACAGUUGUUUUCAUUGGUAGCGUACUUUGUUUGAAAGAUGUGAUUAAGUUGACACUUGGGUGUUAUUGUUCAUAUAUGGUGUAUUUACCCCUAUACGACUUAGUUACUACUAAUACCUUGACAGAAAUUCUGUACUAGUGUAAGAUAACGUACCGGCAAGAACUUUCCGAGGAAUGAUAGGCUUGCCCUCGUUGGUUUCAAGUCAUUUAGAUUAUGCGCUGUGAAUGGGAUUGUAUUGACAGUGAGAAAUUAUCACGUGAAAUAUUAAUGUUUUGUAAAAGGAUAUGAUACAUGCUAUCGUUUUUCCUUGUGGGCCUUUUGCAAGUCUAAUUUUACCACCCUGACGUAAAAAGCGAUCACAAUGCCGGAAUAUAAUAUAAGAGACGUUUCGGUGAACUUUCCAUUUGAACCAUAUGCUGUGCAGAGGACUUAUAUGGAAAAAGUUAUAGAAUGCCUCCAGCACAAGAAGAAUGGUGUUUUGGAGUCUCCAACUGGAACUGGAAAAACUCUGAGCUUGCUGUGUGCUUCACUAGCGUGGCUAACAGUAAAGAAAGCUCAGCUUCAAAUGAAGGCGCAGGGUGGACUGUUUGAGCUACCUGGUGGGGACUUUGUGACUGGCCUUGCAGACAGUCUGAACACUGCAGUUGGUGGAUCUACAAAAGGACAACAAUCCGUGUGGGGAGUUCCAAAAAUUAUUUAUGCAUCAAGAACACAUUCACAGCUCUCACAAGCAAUGCAGGAGCUGAAACGUACUGCCUAUAACCAUGUUCGUGUAACAGUAUUAGGGUCUCGUAACCAGCUGUGUAUUCAUCCUGAAGUAUCCAAAGAACUCAACAGCAGUGCUAAGGUGCACAUGUGCCGUGUUAGAGUCUCAUCUCGCACAUGCUAUUUCUACAAUAAUGUGGAAUCCAAAAAAGAAGAUCCUGCCUUUAGGAAUGAGGGUAUUCUCGAUAUUGAGGACCUUGUUGUAGCAGGACGUAAGACCAAAUGUUGCCCGUACUUUAUGGCUCAUGAACUCAAGCAGACAGCAGAUGUAGUCUUCUUACCAUACAACUACUUGCUUGAUCCCAAUACGAGGACAACAUUUGGUGUGGAAAUAAAUAACAAUGUUAUAAUUCUGGAUGAGGCACAUAAUAUUGAGAAAAUGUGUGAAGAAUCUGCCUCAUUCCAAAUCUCAAGUUCUGAUAUUGCCCUGUGCAUACAAGAGGUUACACAGGUAAUGGAAGACAUGUAUGCUGAAACGCAGACUGGAUUUACUCAGUCCGAUGGUGAUUCAACACCGAAGGAUUUCACAGCAGAUGAUUUGUGUGUCCUUAAGACAAUGUUCCUGGAACUGGAAAAGGCAGUUGACGCAGUUGAGGUUACUCCAGAGGGUAGCACAUAUCCUGGAAGCUUUCUUUUUGAGCUUAUGUCUAAAGCUGAGAUUACACAUGGCAGAAAAAAUCUUGUUGUCGACUUACUUAGUAAAAUUAUCCAGUAUUUGUCAACAACAAGUACAUCACCAUUCCAGAGGAAGGGUACAGGUCUACAGAAAUUUGUAGAAGUUCUGAGGAUAGCAUUUAGUACAGAUGUAAAUUCAUCCCGACAUAUUGAUCAUGUUAAACGCUGCUAUAAGGUCUUUAUAACUUAUGAGGAAUUCAAGUCGACUAAGAGUAAGACAGAUACUUGGUUAUCUAACAGAACAACGAAUCUGACAAGUAACAAGGGAAAGCAAAUAAAUUAUUGGUGCUUUAGUCCUGGAUUUGGGAUGCAGGCAUUGGUGGAGCAGGGUGCUCACUGUGUAAUCCUCACGAGUGGAACACUUGCUCCUUUGAAGCCUCUAGUGUCGGAGCUGUCCAUAGAUGUUCCAGUGAGGCUAGAGAAUCCACACAUAGUGACUCCAGACCAAGUGUUUGUUGGCAUUGUACAUACAGGACCAGAUGGCCAUCCACUCAAUUCUUCUUUUAACACACGGAAUGAUCCGCAGUAUAUAACAUCUCUUGGACGAACAAUUCUUAAUCUCAGCCGUAUUAUUCCUGGUGGGCUUCUGGUCUUUUUUCCCUCAUACCCAGUGCUGAAGAAAUGUCAGGAAGAAUGGCAGCUGUCAGGAAUAUGGUCGCAGAUAUGUGUCUCAAAGCCAAUAUUGGUGGAACCUCAGACGAAGGAUGCAUUUGUUGCAACAAUGACUGAAUACUACGCGAAGAUCAAAGAUCCAAAUGUCAAGGGUGCCUGCUUUAUGGCAGUCACAAGAGGCAAAGUAUCUGAAGGCCUGGACUUUGCAGACAUGAAUGGCCGUGCUGUAAUUAUUACUGGACUGCCUUAUCCACCUUUUAAGGACCCACGUGUUGUACUUAAACAGAAGUACUUAGAUGAAAACCGAACAAAAGAAAAUGAGAUGUUGUCAGGUCGUGACUGGUAUCAGCUGGAGGCAUCAAGAGCUGUGAAUCAGGCUAUGGGACGUGUCAUUAGACAUGCCAAGGAUUAUGGUGCUGUCCUGCUCUGUGAUUUGAGAUUUGAGAAUGCCAGUUUCAAGAAACAACUAUCUGCAUGGUUGCAACCACACAUUAAGACUUUUCGUCAGUUUGGUCCCAUUGUGAGGAAUAUACGAUCCUUCUUUAGACAAGCUGAACUUAUGUUUCCAUCAGCAUCUGUGUUAAGUAUUUCAGAUGUUUCUUUACCACCUGUACCAGCAUCAUUUGGAACAGCAGUUGGUCGUUUAAUAAACACCAAGGAAGACAGUCAUAAAUCAGAUGAUAAUGCGACUUCAUGGUCAAUGAAUGAAUAUACAACUAGUGCCUCCAUUACUCAGAGUUCAGCAAUGAGUAACAAUCCUUUCACAAAUGGAAGCCUUUUGGAUGCUCUUGAACCCCAUACUACAUGCAUUAAUUUGCUGAAUGAAAUGCCUGACAGUGUAUCCAAGAACAGAGGUACUAUUGAUAUUAAAGGGAGCAGUUCACAACCUCCACCAGCCAAGAAGAAGAAGAUGAAGAUGGCACCUUUCACAUAUGUGCUGUCUGAAUCAAAUCAAAACACUUCAGAAAAUGCAAUCCCCUUGCCUCUUUCUACUAACAGGUUCAAAGAGGUGUCUAAAUACAGUUCCUCUUCAGGAGCUGCACCUAGUAAAUCUGGCACAGACAAACUGGAUGAUAUUACAAACUAUGUAAAGAAGGUAAAAGGUGCACUUGAUACUGAAAAUUACCAGAAAUUUAUCUCUGUUGUGAAAGAAUACAAGACUGAAAGUAAUGUGAAAAAGCUCCUUCUGCAACUGAAAGAUAUUUUCUUACGGUCAAAGGAAUUAAAUCCAUAUUUCUUAGGUUUCCGAGCAUUUUUAAAGGAGGAUCAUGAAGGUGAAUUUUACCGAAUGUGCGAACUUUGGAAUGUGACAACUGUUUGAGAUGCAAAAGGUUGUAAUGACAAGCUGUGCUCAAGAUCUGACUCUUAGAUGUGAAGGUGGGCAAUAUUACACGGAAUACGUCUUUCUAAAAUAAAAAAAAACAGCCAUUGACAGACAGAAAAUAAGCCUGUUUUGUAUCGACAGGUACCUGAUUGGUUGGAAACAGCAGAGAAAAUGAAACAACAGUUGAACAUUACAUUAAUCCUUUUGAUCAUUGGCUGAAGAGGACAAAAGAAGAUAUUAAUUAUAUCUAGAUCCAUCAGUAUUUCAUACUUGUGAUCAAAAUGAGAAUUACAUGUAAACAUAUUUGUGAAAUAUUUUUAAUUGCAUACAAUUCUCAUUGAACCAUAAAUGAUAUUUUUGUAUUAUAUAUUUUAUAAUUUUUUUAUAUUUUUAUAGAUAAUUUUUAUAUUUAUGACAUAUUGUUGUUGUGCAGAAUA